AACUUUUAACAACGGAUCUCUUGGCUCUCGCAUCGAUGAAGAACGCAGCGAAAUGCGAUACGUAAUGUGAAUUGCAGAAUGCAGUGAAUCAUCGAAUCUUUGAACGCACCUUGCGCCCUUUGGCUAUUCCGAAGGGCAUGCCUGUUUGAGUAUCAUGCACAGCUCAACUCUCAUGGUCUGCCAUGAUGAGCUUGGACUUUGGGGGUCUUGCUGGCUCAACUGUCGGCUCCUCUCAAAUGGAUCAGCUUGCCAGUGUUUGGUGGCAUCACAGGUGUGAUAACUAUCUACGCUUGUGCUCUUCCACCAGGUAACCUCCAGUGAUGGAGGUUCGCUGGAGCUCACAGAUGUCUCUCCCCAGGGAGGACAGCUUUUGAACGUUUGAUCUCAAAUCAGGUAGGACUACCCGCUGAACUUAAGCAUAUCAAUAAGCGGAGGCU
rnacentral:misc_RNA from 1 species